UAUUAGUUUGAUUCUAACUAAUUUAUUAAAUUUUAUUUUAUACCUUAUGUAAAAAUAAACUAAAAGUAAAUUAUAGAUUAUAUUACAUUAAUGAAUAAUAUAGUUAAUUACAAUGGUUAAAACUAAUCAAUAUAUAAAAGUAUGAACUGGUAAAUAUAAUAUAAUGUCGGCCAAAUUCGUGCCAGCAGCCGCGGUUAGACGAUGGACAUAUAAUAAAAAAAACUUUUAUAGAUAUAAUAAAAUUACUAAUAAGUCUAAUUAUGACACAUACUGAAUCUUAUAUAUCAUAAAUAAAUUAUAAACUAAAACAAGGAUUAGAUACCCUUUUAUUUAUAACCUAUUUUAAAAGUUGGAAAAUACGAACAAUAGUUUAAAAACCAAAGAAUUUGGCGGUGUCUUAUUUUAUUAGGGGAACCUGUUUCAUAAACGAUAAUCCACGAAUGUCCAACCUAAUUUUGAAAUUCAGUUAGUGUACUGCCGUCAUAAGUAUACCUUCAUGAGUGUAUGCAAAAAAUUUAAUUUUAAAUUUAAUGUCAGGUCAAAGUGCAGCUUAUAAUUAGGAAGAUAAUGGGUUACAAUAUUAAUAGAUAUACGGAUAAAUAUAAUAAACUAUGUUUUGAAGGUGGACUUAAUAGUAAUUAAAAUAAAAUUUUAAUGAAUUUAACACUAAGACAUGUACAAAUCGCCCGUCACUCCUUAACAGGGAUAAGUCGUAACAUAGUAAAUGUAACGGAAGUUGCAUUUGUCAGAUU
rnacentral:ncRNA from 1 species